rnacentral:rRNA from 1 species
GAUGAACGCUGGCGGCGUGCCUCAAACAUGCAAGUCGAGCGGGGCUAUGUAAUAUCGCAAGGUAGAACAUAGCCUAGCGGCGAACGGGUGAGUAACACGUGGGUAACCUGCCUGGAAGACAGGGAUAACGAUUCGAAAGGGUCGCUAAUACCUGAUAAUAUCCUUUCAUCGCAUGGUGAUAGGAAGAAAGGGGAAACCCGCUUUCAGAUGGACCCGCGUCCCAUCAGCUAGUUGGUAAGGUAAAGGCUUACCAAGGCGACGACGGGUAGCCGGUCUGAGAGGAUGUACGGCCACACUGGGACUGAGAUACGGCCCAGACUCCUACGGGAGGCAGCAGUUGGGAAUCUUAGGCAAUGGACGAAAGUCUGACCUAGCGACGCCGCGUGAGGGAAGAAGGCCUUCGGUUGUAAACCUCUGUCAUGGGGAAGAAGUAAGUGACGGUACCCCAAGAGGAAGCCCCUGCUAACUACGUG